GAGGAAAGUCCGGGCUCCAUGGGCAGGGCGCCAGGUAACGCCUGGGGGGCGCGAGCCUACGGAGAGUGCCACAGAAAAUAUACCGCCGGGUCCGCCCGGUAAGGGUGAAAUGGUGCGGUAAGAGCGCACCGCGCAGGUGGUAACACGCUGCGGCAGGGUAAACCCCGCCUGGAGCAAGACCGAAUAGGGGAGUGUCAAGUGUGCCCGCACGAGCUCCCGGGUAGGUCGCUAGAGGUCGUUCGGUGACGGCGAUCCCAGAUGAAUGACUGUCCUCGACAGSSCCCGGCUUAU
rnacentral:RNase_P_RNA from 1 species